GUGUUCCUCUGGCAAGUUUUGCAACCCUUGCCUGCUGGGCCGCUCGGCCGCUCCUCUCUCUGCUGCUAGCAGGAAACUGACCCCCUUCUGCCCCUCUCCAGUGCUGGAAAUACCUCUGAGCAUCUUCCCUCCUCCAAUCUUGAGUGAGAUGCUGCUCUGGAAGUGUGUGUUGGGCUGGCGGAGUGCCUGCCCGCUGCACCUUGCCAUCUGAGGACACCUCCUGCAGCUGCACACCAUCACUGAUAGCUGACAUCUGUGAUCAUGCAGAGCCACCAGCCAUGCCAUACCCAGCCAUUUGAUUCAUACAGUCAGGAAACAGGAAGAGAACCUCCUCCCCCCCCAUACAAUCAUCUGAACACAAGACUAGAAAAAGCAAAUCAGAAUGGAUAUUCCUUUGUGCUGAAGGUCUGAAUCCUCAAAGAAAGUACAAUCUUGAAAGUUGAUGUGGAGCUCAGAUUUUUAAAGUAGAUCCCAUGUCAGACGGCAAAGAACGUGCUCGUUUGCUCAACACUCCACUUCUGGGUAGAGGAGGAAAAAAAGGCAGAAAAGGGGGUACUGAGAAGAGCCUGGAGAGACAGGAACAUGAAGUAGUUACCUUCCUCACAGUGGGGAGCUGCCAUGAUGAGAAGGACCAGCACAAAAGGCAGAGCCUUCAAGUGAUGCGGCAGUCUACUUCUUCCUAACAUCAGGAGACAGACCAAUUAAAAUGUAUCCGCUCUGGGCCAAUCUAAACGUGGCCCGAACUCCUGUUCCUGGGGCCCCCGCCUGCCUUCUCUCCUGCCAUGCCUUGCUGUUAAUUGAUUAAUUGAUGUUAAUUAGUGGGAGGCUGCCCUUGUACUGCCCUGCUGCCAGGGGGCCCUAUCUGCGGCUCCGUUUCCUCCCCUACACCGCAGCCCACGCCUCGCCGGUGGAAUGGACGUUAUGUCUUAGCCUUAUUACAGUCUGGCCCCUUUUUGUCCUCUCUGGGCCUUCCUUCGUUUGAUAUGCACCCUCUCCAGCUCUAGGGCUCUCCCUGGCCCUCUCUCACUAUGUGCCCUCUUCUCUGGGGCCUCCUCAGUAAUGCCACCCCCUCUCUGGGCCUCCUCAGUAAUGCUGCCCCCUUCUCUGGGGCUCACUGUGCCCGCACUGGGCCUUCUCAGUAAAGCUACCCUUCUCUCAGGGGCCUUCUCAAUCAUACAAUCAUAGAAGUAGGGUCGGAAGGGA